GCCAGUGAGGCCGCACCCGCGUGGUUAAGGGUUUCUUAUUUCAUAAUGAAAGACAAAAAUGACGAGCAGGUACGUGGCAGCUGUGGUCUCAGCUGCGCUUCCCAGGGCCGAGUGGUGCCGAGACCUUCCUGUGCGCUUCCCGUUCACACGCAGCCUGCUGUGGAGGGUUCGAGUCUUUAAUGCAUUGGAACACAUUUAUUGAAGAACAACAAAUAUGCAGAAGAAUGUAUUAGAGCCACAGCAUGAGUUACCGCAAAGGAACACAUCACGAAGCCAGAACACAUAUUGAGAGUUAGAACCCGCCUGUACCUAUGUUCCUGACAACCUUGACUUCCUUGAUGUGGCACUCCUAUGCCCACUUGCAAAGGGAGCUCUAACACUCCUGACCAGUAACGUCACAGAGCGGGGAUAUGCUCGCUUGAACUUCACAUAGCGGCAUUCUAUGGUAUGCAUUUCUUCUGUCUGGCUUCUUUCUCUCAAUAUUGUGUC